UACAAUGACUCUCGGCAACGGAUAUCUCGGCUCUUGCAUCGAUGAAGAACGUAGCGAAAUGCGAUACUUGGUGUGAAUUGCAGAAUCCCGUGAACCAUCGAGUCUUUGAACGCAAGUUGCGCCCGAAGCCAUUAGGUUGAGGGCACGUCUGCCUGGGUGUCACA
rnacentral:rRNA from 3 species